CCCGCUGAACUUAAGCAUAUCAAUAAGCGGAGGAAAAGAAACUAACAAGGAUUCCCCUAGUAACUGCGAGUGAAGCGGGAAAAGCUCAAAUUUAAAAUCUGGCAGUUUCACUGUCCGAGUUGUAAUCUGGAGAAGCAUUUUCCGCGUCGGACCGUGUACAAGUUUCUUGGAAUAGAACGUCAUAGAGGGUGAGAAUCCCGUCCAUGACACGGACUACCGAUGCUUUGUGAUAUGCUCUCGAAGAGUCGAGUUGUUUGGGAAUGCAGCUCAAAAUGGGUGGUAAAUUCCAUCUAAAGCUAAAUAUUGGCGAGAGACCGAUAGCGAACAAGUACCGUGAGGGAAAGAUGAAAAGCACUUUGGAAAGAGAGUUAAACAGUACGUGAAAUUGUUGAAAGGGAAACGCUUGAGGUCAGUCGCGUUGGCAGAGACUCAGCCUUGCUUUGCAUGGUGUACUUCUCAGUUAACGGGUCAACAUCAAUUUCAGUUGGUGGAUAAAGGCAUUGGGAAUGUGGCACCUUCGGGUGUGUUAUAGACCUUUGUUGCAUACACUGACCGGGAUUGAGGAACGCAGCACGCCACUAAGGCCAGGGAUUCGUCCCAUGUAACGUGCUUAGGAUGUUGGCAUAAUGGCUUUAAGCGACCCGUCUUGAAACACGG
rnacentral:rRNA from 1 species